CCUACGGGAGGCAGCAGUGGGGAAUAUUGGACAAUGGGCGAAAGCCUGAUCCAGCCAUGCCGCGUGUGUGAAGAAGGCCUUCGGGUUGUAAAGCACUUUCAGUGGGGAAGAAAGCCUUGGGGCUAAUACCCUCGAGGAAGGACAUCACCCACAGAAGAAGCACCGGCUAACUCCGUGCCAGCAGCCGCGGUAAACGGAGGGUGCGAGCGUUAAUCGGAAUUACUGGGCGUAAAGCGCGCGUAGGCGGUCUGAUAAGCCGGUUGUGAAAGCCCCGGGCUCAACCUGGGAACGGCAUCCGGAACUGUCAGGCUAGAGUGCAGGAGAGGAAGGUAGAAUUCCCGGUGUAGCGGUGAAAUGCGUAGAGAUCGGGAGGAAUACCAGUGGCGAAGGCGGCCUUCUGGACUGACACUGACGCUGAGGUGCGAAAGCGUGGGUAGCAAACAGGAUUAGAUACCCUUGUAGUC
rnacentral:rRNA from 1 species